AGCUAGAACCUGGGAGGGGCUGGUGCAGUCCUGACCCUGUCCCCUGAGCUGGAGGGCCUGCCUGUCAAAGGCUUCCCGAGAAUCUCCAGCCACCAGAAGGGGGCAGACUGUGACUUCUGAAGCCCAGACACAAUGGUUGGUGAGGAGGCAGGCCGGAGCUGCAGGAGGGCCAGGCUGCACCAGUGCCAAGAGCACCUCAGGAGGAGUGGACCCCACAGGCUGGGCCUGGCUCUCCGAAAGUCGCAGGUGUGGCCUGGAUCAGGGAAUCCCACCGACCUCUCGUCUCAAAUCCAGCCACCCCGCAGGGCGGCCAGGCACGGCCAGGGGCUGCGCGCAGACUGGCUGGGGCUGUGGAAAGCCCAAGAACAGGCCCACGUCCUCACCUGGAUUGUGCCAUUAAUUGGGUGGCAGGAAAAGCUGGUCCCCUAAGCCACCCCUUGACUUGCCCACUGCUCAGGGAGGCCUUAAGACCUCAGAAAGCCCUCAGAGCCACCAAAUGGCCCUGCGAGGAAGACGCGGAUGCAGACCUCUGAGAGGCCCGUGUACAUCCUGGCUCCAGGCGGGAGGUGCUGGGAGAUGGAGAGGCUGGGAGGUGGAGGUCCCCGGCUCAGGCCUCCCCUUUCACCCCCUGAUGCUGUGACUGUGGCAGCUCACAGCCAAGGCCAUCCGUGCUGGUGUCAGCCGACCCCCAG
rnacentral:lncRNA from 1 species